rnacentral:rRNA from 1 species
GACGAACGCUGGCGGCGUGCUUAACACAUGCAAGUCGAGCGGUAAGGCCCUUUCGGGGGUACACGAGCGGCGAACGGGUGAGUAACACGUGGGUGACCUGCCCUCAGCUCUGGGAUAAGCCUGGGAAACCGGGUCUAAUACUGGAUAUGACUCCAUGACGCAUGUUGUGGGGUGGAAAGCCUUGUGCGGCUGAGGAUGGGCCCGCGGCCUAUCAGCUUGUUGGUGGGGUGANGGCCUACCAAGGCGACGACGGGUAGCCGGCCUGAGAGGGCGACCGGGCCACACU